CGAGGAACCUUACCUAGCCUCGUAAUGUUAGUGACUGGUUCUGAAAGGUACUUUCCUUCGGGACACGAAACAAGGUGCUGCAUGGUUGUCGUCAGCUCGUGCCGUGAGGUGUUGGGUUAAGUCCCGCAACGAGCGCAACCCUUAUCACUAGUUACCAGCAUUUACGGUGGGGACUCUAGUGAGACUGCCGGCGUAAGCCGUGAGGAAGGUGGGGACGACGUCAAAUCAUCAUGGCGUUUAUGCCUAGGGCUACACACGUGCUACAAUGGCGAGUACAGAGGGUAGCGAAGCCGGUAGGUGGAGCCAAUCUCAUAAAACUCGUCCCAGUUCGGAUUGAAGUCUGGAACUCGACUUCAUGAAGGUGGAAUCGCUAGUAAUCGCGCAUCAGCCAUGGCGCGGUGAAUACGUUCCCGGACCUUGUACACACC
rnacentral:rRNA from 1 species